rnacentral:lncRNA from 1 species
GACAGUGUCAGCAGAGAGGGCCAGCACAGAGGGUGAUGCCGGCGGUCCUGGGGUCCUGCUUGUUGUCAGUUGAAGGUUUCUGAGUAAAUUGACAGGUACACGCAGGUGCCAAACAGACUCUGCCACUGUCCUGGCUCCCAGUCUGUUCCUUUGUAAAGAACAAGCUUGUCUAGAGGGUCGGCUGCCACCCCUGUGUCUGUAGCCAGACUAAAGUGAGAUUGGCAAAUGGACUUAGGAUGAAGAAGAACAGCAGCAGCAGCAGCAGCAGCAGCAGCAGCAGAUGUUAUCCUAAUGGAAAACUGGAGGUUCCUCAGGCCUGGGCCGUCCCUCCUGUGCUGGCGUGUGUGCCUCUCUGCUCCUGGUCUGCCUUGCUGACACCGCUUUGGCACCUGGAGUCAUCUAGUUUUUCUAUCAAUCAAUCAAUCAGUCUAAGACCAUGCAACUACAGAAGUCUAGCCACUACAGAAGUCAGUUGAUAGAGCAACUACACCACUCCUGGGCAUUUACCCAGAAGACUCACAGGAACAUACCACAGCAUUCUUGCGCAUCAGUGUUUAUUGAGGCAUGUUCCACAACACUGAAGCCACAGAGGCACCUUGUUAUCUAUCAACAGAGGAGUAGGUGAACAAAAUGUGGUUUCUAUGUGCAGUAGCCAUCUUUCAGACACGAAGAAUAAUAAACUUAUGUUAUCUUUCA